UACAGUUUGUGCAGAACACUGAGACAGUUUUAAACAUUUCUAAGACAUCUGUUGUAAAGUGCUGAUGUCCAGUAUUUAAUCUCAGAAUGGAAAAAACAGCAAUUUGGAGUAUUUUAUUUGUAGCCACCAUUCAUGGAGUCUGGAGUGAGAUCAAACUGGACCAGUCUUCAUCUGAGCUCAGAAGACCUGGAGAGACAGUGAAGAUGUCAUGUGUCAUAUCUGGGUUUAAAAUGACCAGCUACUACAUUCACUGGAUACGACAGAGACCAGGGAGAUCUCUGGAGUGGAUUGGAAGGAUGGAUGCAGGAUCUAACUCUGCUAUUUAUGGAAGCUCCUUUCAGAGUCGUUUCCCAAUGACUGAAGAUGUUUCCAGCAGCACUCAGUACCUGGAGAUCAGGAGCCUGACAGCAGAAGAUUCUGCUGUUUACUUCUGUGCUCGACACACAGUGUGACUGAAGACAGAGAAGAAGCUGCACAAAAACCUCCACAGACA